UACGUAGGGGGCAAGCGUUGUCCGGAUUUAUUGGGCGUAAAGAGCGUGUAGGCGGCCAUACAGGUCAGCUGUGAAAACUCGAGGCUCAACCUCGAGACGCCGGUGGAAACCAUCAGGCUAGAGUCCGGAAGAGGAGAGUGGAAUUCCUGGUGUAGCGGUGAAAUGCGCAGAUAUCAGGAAGAACACCCGUGGCUAAGGCGGCUCUCUAGUACGGUACUGACGCUGAGACGCGAAAGCGUGGGGAGCGAACAGG
rnacentral:rRNA from 1 species